rnacentral:rRNA from 1 species
ACGGAGGGUGCAAGCGUUCCCCCCCAUUACCCCGCGUCCCGCUCCCCCCGUCUGUUUUUUCCCCCACCCGUCAAAUCCCCGGGCCCAACCUGGGAACUCCAUCUGAUACUGGCAAGCUUGAGUCUCGUAGAGGGGGGUAGAAUUCCAGGGGUAGCGGUGAAAUGCGUAGGGAUGUGGGGGAGGAAAGGGGGCGAGGGAGGGGGGAGGGAAGAAGGAGGAAGAGAAGGGGAGAAAGAGGGGGGAGAAAAAAG